AAUACAGAGGUCUCAAGCGUUGUUCGGAUUCAUUGGGCGUAAAGGGUGUGUAGGUGGCGCGCUAAGUCGGGUGUGAAAUUUCGGAGCUUAACUCCGAAACUGCAUUCGAUACUGGCGUGCUUGAGGACUGGAGAGGAGACUGGAAUUCAUGGUGUAGCAGUGAAAUGCGUAGAGAUCAUGAGGAAGACCAGUGGCGAAGGCGGGUCUCUGGACAGUUCCUGACACUGAGACACGAAGGCCAGGGGAGCAAACG
rnacentral:rRNA from 1 species